ensembl:lncRNA
GGAGGGCUGUUAAGGUCAUGUUUUCCUGGACUGCAUGCACCAGCCAAGCAACUACCAUAGAGAUGAAGUGCUAUGCUAACAAAUAGAUCUCCAGAGAAAUCUCUUCGGGUCCCAAUUUGGCAAGAAAACAUUUGCAGUAAUCAGCGGAUAAUGGAAGAUUUUAGGUCUGAAUCCUAAUUCUGUGGCAUAAUGAUUUCCACCUAGUGCUUUUCGGUGAUCUUCUUUUGUGCAGUUUUGCUUCUUUUCUUUGAAAAGUUACUCUUUCCUGUUUGUUAUUAACAAACCCACACAGCAGAACUCAUUAGUCUCAUAGCGCUUCAGAAAGAUAUUAGAGAAAUCCCCAGUUCCUGGAAAAUAAGCUGUUGUGU